rnacentral:misc_RNA from 1 species
UCACCCCUCAAGCCCAGCUUGAUGUUGGACGGCCGGUCUUGCGUCCCGCAAGACCCCUCCUAAAGAUAACGACGGCGGCCUGUUCACCCCCGGUACACUGAGCUUCUUAACUGAGCACGUAUCGGUAUUUUAGCGGUGGCGGGACCCGGUCUUCUUCCUUCAAUGGAAAAUCCUUCUCAA